AAUACAGAGGUCCCAAGCGUUGUUCGGAUUUACUGGGCGUAAAGGGUGCGUAGGUGGUCAGGUAAGUCUGAUGUGAAAGCUCGGAGCUUAACUCCGAAAUGGCAUUGGAAACUACUUGGCUAGAGGGUUGGAGGGGAGACUGGAAUUCUCGGUGUAGCAGUGAAAUGCGUGGAUAUCGAGAGGAACACCAGUGGCGAAGGCGAGUCUCUGGACAACUCCUGACACUGAGGCACGAAAGCUAGGGGAGCAAACAGGA
rnacentral:rRNA from 1 species